CGAUCCAGUACGCGUGCGCGCGCGUGCGCAACGCCUACCGGCUGGCCGGCCUCCGCCUGAGGAGGCGCUCCGACGCCGCUCCGGAGGCGAAGCUGAGGCGACGACGGGCAGGAGGAGCCGCCUCCCCCGGGCAAGCCCUCCGCGGGCGCUGCCAUGCUCCUUCCGCCGCAGCUGGGAGGCCGGGCCUGAGGAGCCGCAGCCGAGCCGCCCUCGGUGAGCAGGCCCGCCGCCGCCGCCUCCAUGGCCCAGGCCGAGAAGAUGGAGCUGGACCUGGAGCUGCCGCCGGCCGGGAGCGAGGGGGGCGGCCUGAGGCGCUCCAACAGCGCCCCGCUCAUCCACGGGCUCAGUGAUAAUUCCCAGGUCUUCCAGCCACACGUCUUGCGCACCCGCCGGAACAGCACAACGGUCGUGAACCGGCACAGCAUGCUGAUCUCUUCCUCUACAAUUCGUAUCCCCAGCAGCCGACUCCAUCAGAUCAGAAGGGAGGAAGGAGUGGAUUUGAUGAACAGAGAAGCGGCGCAUGAAAGGGAAGUCCAAGCAGCAAUGCAGAUAAGCCAAUCAUGGGAAGAAAGCUUGAGCCUGAGUGACAAUGACUUGGACAAAUCGGAAAAAUCCUCGUCUCCAAAGAGGAUAGACUUCAUUCCCGUCUCUCCGGCACCUUCGCCUACGAGGGGGAUUGGAAAGCAAUGCUUUUCUCCCUCCCUGCAAAUGUUUGUGAGUAGUAAUGGACUGCCUCCAAGCCCAAUUCCCAGCCCCACAAGGAGAUUUUCAAACAGGAGGAGCCAGAGUCCAAUCAACUGCAUCCGGCCCAGCGCUCUUGGUCCCAUCAAAAGGAAAGGUGAAAUGGAAACCGAAAGCCAGCCCAAGAGACUUUUCCAAGGAACCACCAACAUGCUUUCUCCUGACGCGACACACCUUUCUGACCUCAGCUCAUGCCUGCCCUCAGAUGCCCUCGACGGUUGCUCCAGCGGCGCCAGCCCCUCCACUGACUCACUGGCCAAAGGCGCCGCCUCUGGCGCUGCGGCGGAAUCGCCUGCCGCGCGAUCCGAACCUGCUUCCCCAUUCAUCUUGAUGGAAGACCUUUCCCCCAAGUGACUCGCCCUGCCGCCUGCCUGGAUGUCCGCCUGUGCCAUCCUUUUGCUAUACCCGCCUAUGGAGAAACCGGCGGCAUAAAAUCCCCAAGGGCAUCCGGAUUAGGAGUGCCGAGUGCGAAACACCCACGUCAACCCUCCUCGGCAAUGUCUCCAGGCAAUUUUAAUCCUCCUUUUAAUGGACGCGUCAGGCCCUGGCGCUGCCUGGCUUGCCGGUUUCCCUUUUAAUUCUUUUGCCAACGUCUGCUCGGUUUUCCUUUUAACUACAAAUUAUUUUGCGAAUGUAUCCUUGGAUCGGGACUUUCAAAGAAAUGACACCCACAUUUCGAAUUCCCGGAAAAGCAUCCAAUUUAUAUUCGCAUUAAAAAUGUCGGUGGGAAACCGGUCGCCGUCGCGAUCCCUUGUUCCGAAGAAAGGUUCGGCCUUGCUGGCAUCCUCCUAAUAUUGACAAGCAGAGGAAGGUUUCCUUUUUGGAAUCGUAAAUUUUCAGAGUAGCUUUUACAGUUCUAUCAAAAAUGACUGAUUUGGUUCUACUAUAAGAAAUACAUUGACAGAUAAGGAUGAAAUGAUGGUGAGGUUUAAUAAGUUCACUGUUUCCAUUUGGACAGCUUUUCUGCUGUACUUGAUUGGAAAGAGAAAAAGAAUUGUAGUCUCAAAACAUUUGGAGGGCCGAGGUUGAGGAAGCCUGCUUUGUACUAUAAUGUAACCUAAACAGAAAACUAUAGAAAGAUUCUUCCUCCAAAGACAUUUUAUUUCCAAAAUCCGAUUUAAAUAAAAAAAUCCUAUUUUAAAAAACAUUGAUCCACCCUGGUUGCAAUUUGCUGACAUGGCCCUCACACAGUGACUCGAUUAUAGGGUUGUUUUUUACGUUUCUUUACACAUUUACAUUUUUACACUCGGCCCCAAAACCUAUUUCGAAAUGACGACAAAAAGAUGCGUACCUAAUACGUAAGCCGCUACUAACUUUUGAUUCACACUUAAGUGGAGGUAGAGAGGCACAAGGGAACCCCCUUCUCCCAGCGUGGGAAGCAUGAGAGCCGCAAUGCACACGAUUCCGAGGAACACGGUGAGCAAACUCGGCCCCGAUGAGGCAAUUCUGUUUUCUGGAAAAAGGAAAAGGCAUUUGACACUAUGGAAAGGGGCAAUUCCUUUCCUUUCCUUUCUCUCCCCCCCCCUUAUUGAAUUUAGUAAAUAACAAAACAUUUUUUUAAAAUCUUUAUUAUAUUGCAAAGUAAAUACAUCAAAACAAAACCAUACAUAAAGAAUAAUAUCCAAUAAAACAGAAAGAAAAAAUAAAGAAAAAGAAAAAAUGCAAAGAAAAGUAGACAGAAAAGAAGAAUAAAGUAUCAUAUUUCAUUACAAUAAACACUGACUUACAAAAUAAUAAUAGACUUCCAUCACUCUCACAGCACUUCCUUUCACCUUUCAUAUUUUAUCUGUAUUUCAGUAUUAUUUUCAUCUGAACAUAUAAAUGUGUAUAUAUGUCUAUUUCCCCUUUUCCAUUCACCAGGUCAUUCUAGACACAGCCAAAUUUUUACAUUUGAACCUUGUCUUUCUAAGUAGUCAUUCAAGCAAUUCCAUUCCUCCUGGACUGUAUUCAUUGGCUUUAGUCUUAUUAUAUCCGUCCAUUUGGCCAGUUCCAAAUAUUCACAUAAUUUAUAUAGCCACUCCUCUUUGGUCAGUACCUGGUUACCCUUCCAGUACUUAGCCACUAGAAUUCUUGCCGCUGAUGUUGCAUACAGAAAAAAAAUGAGUUUUUUCUUUUGGAAUAUCACUGUUCAAUAUUCCCAAAAGAUAUGUUUCUGGUCUUUUACUUUGUGAAGUUCUUAGUAACUUUUUUAUUUAUUCAUGGAUCAUGUCCCAGAACUUUCUGAUCUCUGAACAUGUCUACCACAUAUGGUAGAAGGUUCCAAUCUGCUUUGUGCAUCUCCCAACACUUAUUACUAAGCGAUCUGUUCAUUUUAGCCAAUCUCUCCAGUGCUAAAUACCACCUAUGGUGCAUUUUCAGGUAAUUUUCUCUUAUUAAAUAACAUGCUGUAAAAUUUAUAUUUUUUGCCCCCAGUUUUUUGAAUGGUAUAACAUAGGCAUGUCCAACAGGUAAAUCUGAAAGCAUCUGAAGGCAGCCCUGUUUAGGGAAGUUUUUAAUAUUUAAUGCUGUGUUGUUUUUAACACUUGAUAGACUGGGGAAACUUAGCCAGAUGGGUGGGCUAUAAAUUAAUCAUCAUCAUCAUCAUCACUGGCUCCCCCCAAAGAAGCUCAAGAACUUUGGCUUCCCUAAAAAAGCUCAACAACUUAGACCUGAACCGGGGUAGAUCACUGCUAGUUCUUAACUUUGUGAGUAGAUCACAGUCUUGGCCACCCUAACAAAAAGUUCAAAUGAGAUCCACUUCAUUCCUAAACAUUUCAUUUCACCAAACAUUCUUGCUUUUAUUGACAUUGGGCUUCCCGUCAAAUCCACCCAGCCAGAAUGGCUAGGACUUCAGAGAUUGGAAACCUUUUUCAGCAGGGGGCCGGUCCACUGUCCCUCAGACCUUGUGGAGGGCUGGACUAGUGGGGGGGGGGGGGAAUGAACGAAUUUCUAUGCCCCACAAAUCACCCAGAGAUGCAUUUUCAAUAAAAGGACACAUUCUACUCAUGUCAAAACACGAUUCCCAGAUGGUCCGCCGACUGGAUUGAGAAAGCGAUUGGGCUGUAUCCGGCUCCUGGACCUUAGUUUGCCUACCUAUGGGCUAGGUUCGACCUCCAAUGGAGGAAAACAGUGUUCCUCUGAAUACCAAUUGCCAAAAACCACCAGCGGGGAGAGGGAUGCUCAGGUUCAGCUUUUGAGCUUCCCAUGAGGUGCAGGGGCCAGCAAAUUUUUUUUUGCUGCAGGCUUGUCCACUGUCUCUCAGACUUUGGGGAGGGCCAGAGAACCAGCACCAGGGAGGGUGGGAGCUGGAAGAAGAGGCGAGAAAGGUUCAACCUUGCUGGCAUCCUCUUCAUAUUGACAAGCAGAGGAAGGUUAAGCUUGUAAGGUGACUUGAUGUUACACCGUAAUCAUACUAUCAAAGAAGUAACUGCAGUGAUAAAUAAUAUGUAAUGGGAAUGAGAACUUAAAAGGACUCUCAAGGUGACAAGUGCUGGUGGAGGGGAGUCAAAUGGGUGUGCUCCUCCAUCUUUUCUUUCUUUCUCACCUUUUCCCUUUACUGUCUUUGGUUUUGGGGGGUGAAGUGUGUGUACCUGUUUGUUUGUUUGUAAAUAUUCUCAAAUAAAACAUUAAAAAGUCAAA